AGAGAGAGAGAGAGAGAGAGAGAGAGGCUAUGGAGAAUAAUCAACAUGAGGAGGAGGAGAAACGCGAGGACGACGACGAGGUGGGGCCCAUGGCCGGAGAGGAGGAGGAAGGAGAGGUCGGGUCAAGCUUGACGCUGGAGAGGGUGGCUGCUGCUAAGCUUUUCAUUGAGAACCACUACAAGGCUCAGAUGAAGCACAUCCAACAACGCAAAGAAAGGCGCUCAGUGCUAGAAAAACAGUUGGCAUCUUCUGAUGCAUCUCAAGAG
rnacentral:misc_RNA from 1 species